AUUGAACGCUGGCGGCAUGCCUUACACAUGCAAGUCGAACGGUAACGGGCCUUCGGGUGCCGACGAGUGGCGAACGGGUGAGUAAUACAUCGGAACGUGCCCGAUCGUGGGGGAUAACGAGGCGAAAGCUUUGCUAAUACCGCAUACGAUCUACGGAUGAAAGCAGGGGACCGCAAGGCCUUGCGCGGACGGAGCGGCCGAUGGCAGAUUAGGUAGUUGGUGGGAUAAAAGCUUACCAAGCCGACGAUCUGUAGCUGGUCUGAGAGGAUGAUCAGCCACACUGGGACUGAGACACGGCCCAGACUCCUACGGGAGGCAGCGGUGGGGAAUUUUGGACAAUGGGCGCAAGCCUGAUCCAGCCAUGCCGCGUGCAGGAUGAAGGCCUUCGGGUUGUAAACUGCUUUUGUACGGAACGAAAAGCCUUCUUUUAAUACAGGAGGGUCAUGACGGUACCGUAAGAAUAAGCACCGGCUAACUACGU
rnacentral:rRNA from 1 species